rnacentral:rRNA from 1 species
UACGGAGGGUGCGAGCGUUGUUCGGAAUCACUGGGCGUAAAGGGCGUGUAGGCGGUCCGCUAAGUCUGAUGUGAAAGCCCGGGGCUCACCCCCGGAAGGGCAUUGGAAACUGGCGGACUCGAGUCCCGGAGAGGAGGGUGGAAUUCCUGGUGUAGCGGUGAAAUGCGUAGAUAUCAGGAGGAACACCGGUGGCGAAGGCGGCUCUCUGGACGGUGACUGACGCUGAGACGCGAAAGCGUGGGGAGCAAACAGG